CAGACUAUCAGUACGUACGCUG
rnacentral:miRNA from 1 species